rnacentral:tRNA from 1 species
GCUCCCGUAGUGUAGUGGCCAAUCAUGCAGGCCUUUCGAGUCUGCGACCCGGGUUCGAAUCCCGGCGGGAGCA